rnacentral:rRNA from 1 species
AGACGAACCGUCCGAACGUUAUUCGGAAUCACUGGGCUUAAAGGGUGCGUAGGCGGCCUGGUCAGUAGGGUGUGAAAUCUUCCGGCUCAACCGGAAAACGGCGCUCUAAACUGCCGGGCUUGAGUGAGAUAGGGGUGUGCGGAACUUCCGGUGGAGCGGUGAAAUGUGUUGAGAUCGGAAGGAACACCGGUGGCGAAAGCGGCACACUGGGUCUUUUCUGACGCUGAGGCACGAAAGCCAGGGGAGCGAACGGGAUUAGAAACCCCGGUAGUCC